AUUGAACGCUGGCGGCAUGCCUUACACAUGCAAGUCGAACGGCAGCGCGGGGCAACCUGGCGGCGAGUGGCGAACGGGUGAGUAAUAUAUCGGAACGUACCCUGGAGUGGGGGAUAACGUAGCGAAAGUUACGCUAAUACCGCAUACGAUCUAAGGAUGAAAGUGGGGGAUCGCAAGACCUCAUGCUCAUGGAGCGGCCGAUAUCUGAUUAGCUAGUUGGUAGGGUAAAAGCCUACCAAGGCAUCGAUCAGUAGCUGGUCUGAGAGGACGACCAGCCACACUGGAACUGAGACACGGUCCAGACUCCUACGGGAGGCAGCAGUGGGGAAUUUUGGACAAUGGGCGCAAGCCUGAUCCAGCAAUGCCGCGUGAGUGAAGAAGGCCUUCGGGUUGUAAAGCUCUUUUGUCAGGGAAGAAA
rnacentral:rRNA from 1 species